GGGGAAUAUUGGACAAUGGGGGCAACCCUGAUCCAGCGAUGCCGCGUGAGUGAUGAAGGCCUUCGGGUUGUAAAGCUCUUUUGCACGCGACGAUGAUGACGGUAGCGUGAGAAUAAGCCCCGGCUAACUCUGUGCCAGCAGCCGCGGUAAUACAGAGGGGGCUAGCGUUGUUCGGAAUGACUGGGCGUAAAGGGCGCGUAGGUGGUAUGACAAGUCAGGUGUGAAAGACCCAGGCUUAACCUGGGAACGGCAUUUGAGACUGUCAUGCUUGAGUCUGGGAGAGGAUAGCGGAAUUCCUAGUGUAGAGGUGAAAUUCGUAGAUAUUAGGAAGAACACCGGUGGCGAAGGCGGCUAUCUGGAACAGAACUGACACUGAGGCGCGAAAGCGUGGGGAGCAAAC
rnacentral:rRNA from 1 species